GAUGAACGCUGGCGGCAGGCUUAACACAUGCAAGUCGAGCGGGGACUUCGGUUCUAGCUGCCGAAGGGUGAGUAACGCCUGGGGAACUGGCCUUUUCUACGGAAUCACCCUGGGAAACUGGGAGCAAUAACCUAUCCGCCCUAUGAGGAAAAGAUUUAUCGGGCCAGGGUCGGCCCGCGUUGGAUUAGGUAGUUGGUGGGGUGAUGGCCUAUCAAGCCGCCGAUCCAUAUCUGGUUUGAGAGGCUGAUCACCCACACUGGGACUGAGACACGGCCCAGACUCCUAGGGGAGGGAGCAGGGGGGAAUCUUAGACAAUGGGGGCGACUCUGAGAUAGCCGCGCCGCGUGAGUGAUGAAGGCCUUAGGGGUGAAAAGCUUUUUCAGCUGGGGAGAUAAUGACGGUACCAGCAGAAGAAGCCCCGGCUAACUCCGUG
rnacentral:rRNA from 1 species